rnacentral:lncRNA from 1 species
UGAUCUUGAGAAGGAUCAUUCAGUUUGUGAUGUGGUCACGAGGUGAUCAUGUGGAUAUUCCGUUUGUGAUCUGUGAGUGAUCACCGUUUUUGUUUUGGUCACGAGGUGAUCGAGAUGGUAUAUUGCUUGGCCGGUUAUCCAAGUGUGAGAUGGUUCAUGUGGUACUUGAGCUCUGAGAUGAUGGCUUAUCAGUAUUCUAGUAGUUCAUAUCGUGGUUAUUAGUUGCUUCAUUAUGGUAGUUGUUAAUUUAAUUAACCUGCUUAAUGCUAUGUUAUUGUCUUGCCUUGAUGUUUUUGGUUGUUGUGAACUUGCAAGUACAUUCAAUGUACUGACCUGGUGUGUCAUGCCAGAUUGCAGGUGAUGUCGUGAUUGCUUGAUUGCUUGUACUGGUUUCCGUUCGUGCGAGCUAGAUCAUGUCCCAGCCAGAGUCCCUGCAGAGUGGAGUUCACUACCUUCGUAGUUGUUCCACUGCUAGAAGAUUUCUGCUGCUACGAGUUGUUCUACUGCUAGCAUAGAGCAAGUGUAGUAUCGCAGGCAUAGUGUCGCCAUGCUGAUGUGAACCUUUGUAACAUCAGAUCUUUGUGUUUAUUUUUGUAAUAAGAGCUGAUUUGUUCUAUGUCAAGCAGUGCCGUAUUCCAGAGACUUCUACUCGAUGUCUAGGCUAGAAUACGAGGCGUUCCGGUUUCUCUGAGACGGGGUGCCUAAUGCUUGGUAUCAGAGCAGGUCUAGCUGUAGGACGACCUAGUCAGCGUGAGUGGUAGAAACCGGUAGAAAUCAGUAGUAUAGAGUCUAGCUUGAUGAUUGCAUUUGGUUGCUGCAUUUGUUUUUUGCAUAGCAUGCAUAUAGCCUAAGUAUUUGUGACAAUGGUUUAUCUAGUGAGUGUAGCUGGCAUCGGUUCGAAUCCACUACAGCUCAACCUUUGCAUUUCUCCAAUUCCUUUUUCUUUUGGUGUUUGGUGUCAUUUCUGUCCCAGCAGAGUGAUGCCAAGUUAUCCCGACACUGUUUGCAAAAAUGGUGCUCAGGUAUCGCGCCGAUGUUUUUCUUUCGGUCAUGUCUAUCGUUUCAGUGAUGGACAUGCUUAUAUCCCGGAUCAUUCUUUUAUUUUGUCGUGUUGGCAACCCUUAAUGAUCUUAGUUAUCAAGAAAGGGCAAUGUCAGCAGCCUCUGUUUUCCCCUGCUAUCCUAUUUCUUGGACGAGUAUGGAUCUUUCUCCGCCCGUUUGAUAAUAAUGUGGUUGCGACCUUCGUGUCCCACUACAUGAUUACCGAGUAAGUCCUCACCUUCGAGCUAGUUCAGGUUGCCACCUGGCUAAGCUAACACUUGGUGUAGCGAUGUUUACACCAACUCUUCCACACAUUUAUUCGUCCUCGUGCACAUCGUCACAACAUGCUAGAUCGUAGAACCGGAGAUCCCGCGAGAUUUGUGUAGGCAUUCAUAUUGUGUGACUAGCAGUAAUAUGUGACAUUGAUUGUGUGUGAAUUGAUUGUUGCUGUGUGCUUUUGUUUAGUUGAGUUUUUGCUUCUUUCUUUUUGGGCCCCGGUGUUACAUUAUUUUUUCCCCAUAAAGAGUUGCUCAUCCACCGAUGCCGUACUUGAAGAAGCAAUAAGGAUUUCAAAUAUUUGGAAGAAGCUCAGCUAAACAUUAUGGUCUACCCAGUCAACUGCAUUAUGGCAUUAAUAUCUGCUCAGGAUACCAACGGUGUCUUGGAUUGAUGAUCAGCAUCGAGUCCACAUCAAUACAAAAUCCUCACAGCAGUUAUGAUCUAGCAAGGAGAAAAACAAGUCACGUACAAGGUCAACGGUAUAUUUUCAGACAGAGGUAUGGACCAUAUACAAAGUUUUGGCUCAAUAAUGCAUGAUGAUUGAAAUAUGUUAUCAUCCAAAAUAAAGUCAGAAUGUGAUAUGCUCAAGGAAGAAAGUCCAACCAUUUUUUUCUCAUGCAAAUAAUCAGCCUCAGAAUAUUAUAGGCGUGUGUAUGGAUUUCAGUCUGCAUAUCAGUAUGAAGUUUUGGACAUAAGAAACCCAUUAUUCUUCCACACGCUAUUAGAAGAAAUUUAUGAUGCAAGGCUCCUAAAUUUUUCCUCAGCAUGAUAUGUGAACAAUUUUCGGUCCAUGAUACCCAGUCUUUCUCAGCAAGAUACCUCGGUAAAAGCUUCUGACAGACGGAAAUGAAAUUUUCUCAACAAGCAAACCCGAGGAGAAGCUUCUCAAGUACGGAACUCAGGCUUCUCCAGCACAAUACUCAGGACAAGCUUCAUGUGUAAGCUAUAGAGCCUUCUUCUGCAUGAUACCCAGACAAAAGAUUUGAGUAGAAGUUAACGAGUCCUCCUCAGCAAGCUACUCGGAUGGCUUCUCUCGUAAGCCACCCAGUCUGCGUCAGUACCACAAUAUUGCACCGUCCUCAGAUAUUAUAUGAUGAGUUGCCAAUAUAUGGCAGCACCACUCAAGAACUAGACUUGCAAUAAUUUUUUCAGAGGUACAAUUCAGUCAAAACAUAUGCCUACCGCAAGGAUUGAGUGUUCGGUAGCAUAUCCUUCUUAUAUAUGGUGAGCAUGUAUCCCCAGUCAUAUCAGUAACUCAUACGAGAUGCGGCAAAGAUCCAGCAGAUAUACCUAAGGAAAGUAGGGACCCCACAACCUCCCGAGUUAGGCAAAGGAAAAUAAGCAGAGACACAUCUCAUGAAUUACAAGGAUCGACAAUAUCUAGAUAUGAUAUCACAGAAUCAACAGUCUUGACAAUGGUCAUCAAGGUCAUUAUUCCCGCAAUUGACAAGGUGAUGUCAUAAAACCUUGUCACCUUCUUGUAUGAUUGGCCUUAGCAAUGAGCUCCAUACAACUACAAACCUCGGGCAUAUAUCAUAUGUGUGCGGACCCAAGUCAGAAAACAAGCACAAGGAAUAAUGUCAAAAAUAUUGCACUAAUCACGUCCAUGGUCAUACGAAGAAUCAAGAACAUGUGUGGCCAAGUUAUUUCAGUAAGGUAUCCUAACAAGGAAAAUCAUGACCGGCAAAGUGUGAGACUGACAGCGAAAGUAUGAUGAUUUUUUGCACGACCAUCAGGGUCCGGAUACCCAAGUCGGAUGGAGGCCAUAAUUCCAUAUGGAUCCACAAAGGCAUACUCUCAGCGGCCUACUCUAUUUACAAGGAUUUUCAUAUCCCACUGACCCGUUUGACAUGGUUAGUGUGGAAUAUCCAAGUUUGCCCUGUCAGACCCAAGAUUCCUUUGCAACCUUAGCAGUUUGACCUCAGCAGCAGUGUUAAAGCAUACCACAGUCUAUUACCACAGAUGGGUAUAUCGACCACAUGAGGAAAAAAAUCAAAAAGCCGAACAAUCGGCUUAGACUCGGUAUACUCACCGACGGAAUCAAGUACACGGUCAGUCUGUCAGUAAAAUCAUGUGUCCGUUAGCCACCAGUCGGGCCAGUCUCAAGAUGUAAAUAUUUGAGGUACGACAGAGCUAUAACUCCAUACACCGUUAUAUUGCUCACUCUAGAAGACAGUCAAAUCUCUGGUAUAUGCCACAUGCUCGGGCCAAGGGAAUAAAUCAAAAUAAAUUAGUACCACCUAUGAGAUGUCAGAUCCCAUCAGGAGAAUGGCCAUGAUUAAUUCUCAACAUUUAUUGAACCCAGAAGGCCUGCAUUUAUUUGAAGCAACCCCAUGGCGGAAGUAAAAAGGUUUUCAUGACCAAAGGAAAAUUUAUACUCAGAUCCAUUGGAUAUCACCGCAGAUAUGAGAAAAUUCACGUCAACAAAAAGAUUUGGUAUGUGAGCAAAAAUCCGUCAGAAUUUGUGGAAAGGUGAAGCAAACCACCCUAGAGCAAGGUAAGUUGAUCAUCUGAAAUUCUUGUAGGAACAAUAAAUAAAGGAAAAAGGAUACCCGAGUUGGAAACGGAGUCCUCAAGUCAUACUUGUUCCCUGAGCAACCAAAUCUCGAGGAUGAGAUUUCUUUAAGGGGGAAGGUUUGUAACAGCCUGAUUUUUGGCCCUUCCCUUUUUCUUUUGAUUUAUUUUUGUUUUGAUCUGCUUCUCUUUUUGGAGUGGUUCUGUGGCCUUGCCACCUGGGAAAUCAUCCUCAUUCCCCCUCCCAAGUGGCUCAUCAUUCUCAAAACCUUGCCAAGAUCAUGUCACUUCACUCUUUGACCAAACCCUAAAAUUCUUUUCUAGGGAAUAUUCCUUUUUCUAUUAAAGGAAUAACCCUAUCUGCCCUAGGUUGUGAAGCAACCUAUAUUUCUGUCCAUCCAAAAAUUCCCAAUUAAUUCUCAAAAUCCCUUUGGGUCAUAUGUUGAUCAAAUAUGCCCAAACUUUCCUAUCCUAGCUCAAUAAUAAUUCCCCAAUAAUUAUUCUUCCUUUCUGCCCUAAAUGGCACUUUGUGAAGGAAGUGUCAUUUAUGUUUUUCCUAGUGGCUCCCAACCUUUUUGGGCAUGCUUAUAUGUCCAAAUAAUUGCCUCAUGCACAAGUUUAACCUUAUUUGCAUAGCCAACCUUCCUCAGUGAUUUUUUCAAAGUUUCUGUCAGACAGAAGGCUUUGUGAAGGAAACUAGCUAGGAGUAUCCAAAUGAGUUGAACUUUUGCACACUACUUAAUGUAAUCAUAUUAACCCCCUCCACCCAUUUUCAGCCCCAUCCAACUAUCUAUGUGAGCACAGGAGCAAAUCUUUGAUUUUGGCAAUAUUUUCAGGUCAUGAAGCAAGUGUAUUUUAUAUUGCUUCAAAAAUCCUGAUAAAUUACCAGAUCAUUCUUACACCCAUAAAACCUCUCUCCACCCAAUUUGGCAUCAUUUCAUUGAUCCAUUUAUCACCAAAAUUAUUCCAAGUUUCUGGACAGAAAUAAUGUUUGUGAAGUAAGUGCCAUUUUGGCUUGUCCAUUUGGCAUGAGCUUUUUACAACAUCUUCAUAUGUCCAAAUAAUCAAGAUUUUCCCAAUCUUAGCCCAAGUUGAUACUCUAUGUGAGAGAAUCAUCAUGAUCUUCAUUUAUGGACCAAAAAUGCAGUUGUGAAGCAACUAUAUUCAUUCUUGGUCCAUUUCUCCUCAAACUCCCCAAGACUGUAGUCCUUCCUAGCCUAAACACCCCAGACAUAACACUUGACACAUAGCAUCUAUCUGUUGAUCACACUUGGUUGAUAAAGUUUACUGCAGUAAACUUCAGAGCUCACUUACCAUUUAACCAGAGCAGUUUUCACUGAGUUACCACCUCGGUUGCAACCUACCCAGGAAGGACUAACCCCUAGACAUCAUUUGUGACCUGUUUGCCUCCCACACAUGCCAGUACUGGUGGUAACCAUUGUUUUGGCAUGCAAUGAUUGCGUCCAGAACGUAUUCUUGCUCGGGCCCCUCCUCUGCUCGGCAUCUUAGCGAGCACGGGCUUGUCCAGCGUGUUCCCCGUGUCGUUGCCAUCCUCCUGGAGCCAUCUCCCACUCCGUUAGCCCCUCUGUCAGCACUCGUCACCGUGCGCCCACGGGAAAUCUGUAGCCAACCGGCUCUGUUCGCAUCGCGGCCUCUUCCUCCUCUUGUCCUCGCGCUUUGCUCGUCCCUGUGCCCCUCUGUAGCUCAUCCGCACCUCCCUCGUCGCCUUCUCGGGCCACCCCGUGCUCGCUGAGCCUCGCCAGAGCGUCGGCCGGAUGUGCACGACGGUACCCGAGCCCGUGCGCCUCGCCCCGGCUAUAUAUAGACCUCCCUGAGCCGUUAGACCUCACCACCAGCUUCACCUCUCGGCUAGCAACUUCCCCAGCCUGUCGUUUGAGCUCGAGCUGCUCCCAUGCUCUUCCAUCACCGCCUCAGCCGCCGCCUCGGGUCCCUCCGAUUCCGGCGACCAUGGCCAUCUCCCUCCACCCCACCACCUCUAGCCAUCUCCUCCACCACCAGUACGCCGCCCCAGAACCUCUUCCCCUCCUCGGGUGGCCUCCUGUCGUCGGUUCGCCGGUGCCCGAAGCUCUCCUCCGCCGUGUCCCAUGCCCCGCCCCUCCCGGUGAUCCUCGGUGCCUUCCACGACCGAGAAUGGGUGCGGCUCAUUAUCCUGAGCUCGCACGUAGGUCACACGGCCCGAGAGGUGGCCGGAGUCGGCCAGACUCAUCACCAGAGCGCUCGGCCCUGCCUCUGCCUCAGUUCACCGUUGGGAGAAGGAGAGAGGAAGAAUAGAAGGGAGGAGGAGAGAGAAGUGGAUAGGGUGGGACCCACCUGUCAACCACACAAGGGCCGGCCCCGCCACUGCCAUGCUAUAUAAGUGGAAGCGUAGUUCCUGGAAUACGCUUUCAGUUUUUCUGUUUUGGCCCAGUCUGUAAAAUUUUCUAUUACAGCUAGGUCCCUGGUAGAAAAACUAUCAUAACUUCUUGAUCCUAACUCCAAAUGAGGUGAUUCCAAAGCCCGCUUCUUCGUCUCGUCGAGCCCGUUCUGUUCGUCACACUUUCACCAUGUUUUGACAUUCUGAAAAUGACCAUUAUGCCCUUUCCCUUAUUCAGCCCCCUCCGAGAGAGUGCGUUUUCCGGCGAUCUGUUCCGUGAGUUUCUCGCACUUUCUCCCGGUGAUUUCUUCCACCCCAGGCAAGCACACCAUCCAUUUGAAUCAUUGUAAUGUAGCGACAUGGUUUAAUCUAUUUGAAUUUGUUUAAAAUAUUGCUUUAGCUACAUGACUCUGUGCAUGGCAUUUUCUUAGAGUUUUAUUUUGAUCUUGUUGUUGCCAUGCUAUUGUUUGGAUUACUAGGAGUUAUGUUUGAAGUUGAUGAGUAUCAUGUUGCUAUUGGAGUAUUAGUGGUGGAUAUUAUGAUUGUUUUCAUGAUGAUAUCUGUUAUUAUAUUUUGGAGUAUUACUUCGGAUGUCAUGCUGCCUUUGGAUUAUUAGUGGUUAGUAUGAUUAUUUUCAUGAUGCUAGUUGAUGUUUUGUUACUAUUGCUUGGAGUAUUAAUUUCGGAGAUGAUGUUUACGUGUGGAUCUUAGCUGGAUAGCUUUGUUCUUGUUAUUGGAGUAGUAGAGUUAUUGUUUUCAGAUUCAUCAUGGUAGAAAUGUUAUGCUUUCCUUGGAGUAUUUUGACAUGAUGAUAUUAUGCUUAGAUUAUUUGUUGGAUAUUGCUAUGACCUGGAUUAUAGUUUGAUAAUUGAUAUCGGAGUAUCAGUUAUCAUAGUUAUAUUUUUGGGGAUAAAUUCCGUAAUUAAGUUGGUCGGGUGCCACCGAACCGGGCUUUCUUCAGUGCAACCACAUUUGCCUUUAUGGGAAGGCCUUAAUGCGAUGCUAUUGCCAUGUCUCUUGCCGGUGCCUCCAACGAGGGAAGGUUAUGGGCGCGCGCUACCCUGAUCAGGUAGGCGGACAUAAGCCUUGUGUGUCCGUAGUUGGAUUUUGCGCUCUUUUGUCCCCGUUUGGGACCGUCUUUUUUUGCCACGACGGUGGUUGUUGGUGGCUUUGGUAGGCACGGGGCCACCCAGGACUGAACCCAAAGGGGGUGUUGGUCGGAGUGGUUGGGAGAGUGUCAUGGCAGUAGAUCAAUUUUGUUGGAACGCCGUUGGUCCACCCGAAUGGGAGUGCGAGGCCAUGGAUUCCAUGGUGUGGGUACAGUGCGCUACCUCUGUAGAGUGUGUGUUUAAGCUAUGGAUAGCCGCGUCCGUAAUAGGUCACACCGUUCGAUCAACACUCACAUGACGGAAUAACUUAUAGUUGAUUUAUAUGAUAUAUGUGAGUAGUAACAGUUUGGCAGGAUGUUGAUGAUGAUGUUGGAAUGAUCUUGAGAAGGAUCAUUCAGUUUGUGAUGUGGUCACGAGGUGAUCAUGUGGAUGUUCUGUUUGUGAUCCGUGAGUGAUCACCGUUUUUGUUUUGGUCACGAGGUGAUCGAGAUGGUAUAUUGCUUGGCCGGUUAGCCAAGUAUGAGAUGGUUCAUGUGGUACUUGAGAUCUGAGAUGAUGGCUUAUCAGUAUUCUAGUAGUUCAUAUCAUGGUUAUUAGUUGCUUCAUUAUGGUAGCUGUUAAUUUAAUUAACCAGCUUAAUGCUAUGUUAUUGUCUU